rnacentral:hammerhead_ribozyme from 1 species
AUCCAGCUGACUAGUGCCCAAUAGGACGAAACGCGCAUCCUGGAU